rnacentral:tRNA from 5 species
UAGUGGUUAGCCAAAGUGGUAAGGCAUUAAGUUUUGAUCUUAACUAUUGCGGGUUCAACUCCCGCACCUCUAU